rnacentral:rRNA from 1 species
UUAUGGCUCAGGAUGAACGCUAGCGGCAGGCUAACACAUGCAAGUCGAGGGGCAGCGGGUGUAGCAAUACAUGCCGGCGACCGGCGCAAGGGUGCGUAACGCGUGAGCAAUCUGCCCGUAUCAGGGGGAUAAGCGAUGGAAACGUCGUCUAAUACCGCAUAACACAUUGGAAGGCAUCUUCUGAUGUUGAAAGCUUCGGUGGAUACGGAUGAGCUCGCGAGACAUUAGUUAGUUGGCGGGGUAACGGCCCACCAAGACCGCGAUGUCUAGGGGAACUGAGAGGUUGGUCCCCCACACUGGAACUGAGACACGGUCCAGACUCCUACGGGAGGCAGCAGUGGAGGAAUAUUGGACAAUGGUCGGAAGACUGAUCCAGCCAUGCCGCGUGAAGGAAUAAGGUCCUAUGGAUUGUAAACUUCUUUUGAGAGGGAGCAAUAAGGUGUACGUGUACACCGAUGAGAGUACCUUUCGAAUAAGCAUCGGCUAACUCCGUGCCAGCCGCGGC